AUUGAACGCUGGCGGCAGGCCUAACACAUGCAAGUCGAGCGGAUGAAGGGAGCUUGCUCCUGGAUUCAGCGGCGGACGGGUGAGUAAUGCCUAGGAAUCUGCCUGGUAGUGGGGGAUAACGUCCGGAAACGGGCGCUAAUACCGCAUACGUCCUGAGGGAGAAAGUGGGGGAUCUUCGGACCUCACGCUAUCAGAUGAGCCUAGGUCGGAUUAGCUAGUUGGUGGGGUAAAGGCCUACCAAGGCGACGAUCAGUAACUGGUCUGAGAGGAUGAUCAGUCACACUGGAACUGAGACACGGUCCAGACUCCUACGGGAGGCAGCAGUGGGGAAUAUUGGACAAUGGGCGAAAGCCUGAUCCAGCCAUGCCGCGUGUGUGAAGAAGGUCUUCGGAUUGUAAAGCACUUUAAGUUGGGAGGAAGGGCAGUAAGUUAAUACCUUGCUGUUUUGACGUUACCAACAGAAUAAGCACCGGCUAACUUCGUG
rnacentral:rRNA from 1 species